rnacentral:tRNA from 1 species
GGUGGCUCAGUGGUAGAGUGCUUGCCUUGCAUGCACGAGACCCUGGGUUCGAUUCCUAGCACCA